rnacentral:rRNA from 1 species
CCUAGCCUCAUAGACUGGGACAACUAUUGGAAACGAUAGCUAAUACCGGAUAAUAGCAUUAACUGCAUGGUUGAUGUUUGAAAGUUGGUUUUGCUAACACUAUGAGAUGGCUUUGCGGUGCAUUAGCUAGUUGGUGGGGUAAAGGCCUACCAAGGCGACGAUGCAUAGCCGACCUGAGAGGGUGAUCGGCCACACUGGGACUGAGACACGGCCCAG